GUGAGGGUUCUUCAUUCCGCUGCAGAAGGAAUCCGGUCGAUUCUUCUCCAGCCGAAAGGAAUGCAAUCCAAGUACCGCAACUCCGGCGAUGGAUACCGUCCGAGGUCGCCGUUCCGCCGCAACCAGAGGCGCGGAGGUUUCAGCCGCAGCUACUCGAAGCCCCACAACCCUCCCGCCACCAAGGUGGAGAUCUUGAUGGAAGCCGGCCGCCUCGCCGCUGAGUAUCUCGUCUACAAGGGCGUGCUCCCCUCCAGCGCUCUUCCUCCCCGCGAACCCUCCGCUGGAGGCACCAUACAGGAAUUCAGAGGCUACGGGAGAGACAACCCCGCCCCAUCGUUCUUCAAUGAACCCAGAGUUCCGGCUAUGGCCAGGCUUGGAUACCCGGAAUCUGGAGCUGGGUAUUCGAAGAAAAGGUUUAAUGAUGAUUACGAGCGAUUUGGGCCUAGGAAGAACGCAAGGGUCCAGAGAACAGGGGCAUACGCCAGAGGGUUUGGUGGUCCUGAUUGGGAUAGGGAACGGGGAAGAAACGGGCUGUGGAUGGAACGGAGUAGAAACCAAUCGGAUGUCAUGGAAGAGGACGACGACGACUUUGCCCCAGGAUACAGCAGAGAUCGGCGGAGCGGGCAUGAGGAGGUUGGAAGCAGCAGGGUUGCUGGAGAUGAACAGCACUCGAAGAGUGAAGUGGUGGGCGAAUCAGGGUCAGAGAUUGAUGAUGCUGGCUCCAAGGCGAGUUCGAAUAGUACUAGGAAGGAUGCCCCUUCUGCAGGGUCCGCUGAUGUGAACAAAGGGGCAGAUGAUGUGAUGGUCUCAAAUACAGAAGCUGGAGAAGGUAAGAGUAGCGAGAGAGAACAGCUGGGUAAGAAAAACACAGUGGAGGAGGAUUUGGCCAUGAAACCUGUUGAAGUCGAUGAAGGUGUGUCUGUCAGUGAUCAUGCUGAUGGCCUGUUGAAACUUGGUGGUUUUCCGAAAGUGCCAAAACGACCUCGAUCAUCAUUGGCACAUAAAAAUCCUACUGAUCUUGGUUUUAAAAGUGAGGCUGGAAAUAGAGUUGAAUCUGCAUCCAGAGAAGAAAAUGAAAUUAUUGUGGACGAACUUCCAACUGAUGCUUCUUUGAAACAAUCCCCAACACCCUUGUCGCACACAAGUCUCAUCCACUGUGAGCAUGGGAAUGAGUUUGAAGUUUCUAUAGGAGGAACUGAAACAAGUGCAAGCAAACUUCCAACUGAAGGCUCACAAAAAGAUUCUCAUAUAGUUUACACUGACAAAUCUGAUUCUGAAAUACCAGUUAAUUCCGCUGAGGUCGAUAUUCAAUCCUCCAAGCAAUCACUCGAGUCGCAGUGUGAGCUGCAACAGAACCUACCUUCAGAAAUGUCCAUUACGAAAGUAGAUGAAGACAAGGAUGAUAAGGUUAGCGAACAUAGUGGUAACAGGGAACUUGAGAAGCAGAUUUGCUCAUCUUCACCUAGUACAUUCCAGAAGAAUGAACCCUCUCAGCUUUACAAUGCUACAAAAACACAUGUUGAACUGUUCAUUGAGAAGCCACCACAGGACAAAAAAAUGACUGGGCCAGGUGAUCAACUGAACCCAAUCACUGCCCCUUUAGCUCCUGAAGUUUCAGCUGGAUCUUUCUUGAAAUUGCAAAGGCUAAAGCAUAACCAGUCAAUGCCAUUUAAGAUCUGUGACCUUAACCUAAUGGAGUCUCCUGAAGUAAUUGAUAUUCCUGAGCGUCAGAUUACACACACUUCAACUCCUCCAUUGGAAUCUGGAAGACAGCGUUCAGUUGAUUUUGGUUUGUCAGUAAACAACAGGGCCAAAAGUAGUUAUGGCUUCAACCAACUUUCAGGGGAUGAAAAAGUCAUUCCCGUAAUUGAUUUGGAGGAUAACUCCACAAUAGAAGUGAAUGAUCCUUCCAAAUCUAAGAAUGAAAUAGUAUAUCCAACGGAAAAUGUCUUAAACCAGACAGCACAUUCAGAUAAUCUUCCUGCUAUUCAGGAUACUUUUUUGGCGAUUUCUGAUUACCUUGGAGCUGACAUAACAUGCAGCCCAUCAGGCCAAGCUGAACUUAAUAAUCUUCAAGUUGGAAUAGGUCUUCAUGGUACAGAGGGGUUUGCUGUUGUUGAUGAUUCGAUAUAUGGAUCUCUUGGAGAUAUAGGAUUUAUGGAUGUGUGGGACCAAACACCUCAGGAUUAUGAGAAGUUCUUUUGACUUAAAUUGCAUCAUGACAUCAUAGCAUGGUUCUCUAUUACUCAAUAUUCUGUGGCUGCCACUUUGAUUAGUAGUAAAUUGCAUUGGAUUAAGUGAACAAAGGGCACAAAAUUAGGUUCAUUGCACCAGGCAAUAUGCAAAGGAAAAUGAAAUUUGGGUAAGAUAGUACUAUAAAUAUGGACGUGCAGCUAAUUAUUUUAUUCCUAUCCAACUUUCUUCAGUUGUUCAAACUAUUUCAAAAGGCUGCGCUGAGUUAUUCAAUUUUCUAU